CAUCACAUUACCUGACUUCAAACUAUACUAUAAGGCUACAGCAACCAAAACAGCAUAGUACUGAUACAAAAACAGACACAUAGACCAAUGGAACAGGAUGGAGAACCCAGAAAUAAAGCCACACUCCUACAACCACUCAAUCUUUGACAAAGUUGACAAAAAUAAGCAAUGAGAAAAAACUUCCUAUUCAAUAAAUGAUGCUGGGAUAACUGGCUAGCCACAUGCAGAGAUUGAAACUGAACCCCUACCUAUAACCAUAUAUAAAGAUUAACUCAACCUAGAUUAAAGACUUGAAUAUAAGACCUUAAACUAUACAAUCCUAGAAGAAAACCUAGGAAAUACUUCUCUUAAUAUCAGCCAUGGCAAAGGAUUUAUGGCGAGGCCCUCAAAGGUAAUUCCAGCAAACACAAAAAUUGACAAGUGGGUUCUAAUCAAUCUAAACAUCUUCUGCACAGGAAAAGAAACUAUCAAGGGAGUAAACAGAAAACCUACAGAAUGGAAGAAAAUAUUUGCAAACUAUGCAUCCGUCAAAGGUUUAAUAUCCCAAAUCUACGAGGAAUUUAAAUCAACAAGCAAAGAAACCAAGUAACCUCAUCAAAAAGUGUGCAAAGAACAUGAACAGACACUUCUAAAGAGAAAACAUACAAGUGGCCAAGAAACAUAUGAAAAAAGGUUCAUGAUUGCUAGUCAUCAGAGAAAUGCAAAGAAAUUGUCUCUAAAAGGAAAAAAAAGUUAUGAAAGGCAGGACUAGCAUCUUUAGAUAAGCUGAAUCCAGAAUAUCAGAAAAUGAUCUUUCUCUUCCUUGGGAUGAUGUCUGAAAUUUUACCAGUUAGAAAUCUACUGGGAUGCGAAAUGGAGGGAGAGACUCUAAUGUGGUAUUUGGCUUCUGUGGAAUAGAGACUCUGGAGCACUAUUGAAAUAGUUCCUUGCGGGUGUGAGAGGAAGGUCCUCACUGUGGGAGGAUGGAACACGGAAGAGGAAAGCAAAGCAGGAUGAACACAGAGUGAGACAGCCAGGCACAGCAAGGCAGCAGCUUCUGUUUCCUGCAGAGAUCAAGGAAUACAGGUGUCUGAAGCUUAAGGACAGGUGGCCUAUUGACUCUGCGUAGAGCAAUGGUGCUCACUUGGCAACACUCACAAUUGAAUCAGUGUCAAAUUGGUAUGUGUGGAGUAGAGUUUGGACAAGGUGAGUUCUACUCUACCUGUAACUGGCAAUGUCAUCUAGGGAACUGUGUAAGUACUUAUGUACCCUCUAUAGGCUCCCCUUUAUGAGAUCCCAAGAAUUGAAGAGUACUGCAAGUUUGAUCCUACUUACCCUAACUGGAUUAACCAAAUCUUGCCGACCUGUGUUUAUUACUAGUACUAAAUAUGAUCUAUGGUGAUAUUCGCUCCUUUUAUUAAUUCAUAUUAAACUUAUGGUAUACUAGAAUUUUGAGUAUUAUCUCACACGUAGCAUUUAAAUUUGUCGUGGAUUGAUACCUUGGACCCUGGAGUCACAGUGCUUCAUUUCAAUUUUGGCUUACCUGCUGGUUUUUGUUUUCUCAUUAGCAAACUGUGGGGUAGUAAUGACAAUACUUCCCACAUAGAUUGUGAGGAUAAGUUGUCCAGGUAAAUCACUCAGCACAGAACCUGAUACAUGAGAAGAGUUCUUUAAACAUUAUCAAUUAAUACUUUUAUUAUCAUCUUUACUUUCUUCUGAAACUAGUCUAUUGAUUCAAGACCAUGGCAUGUGACUCACUGUUCAAGCACAUGGAUUUUCUCCUGGCUAUUCAUUCAUUUUUACAGUAUAUUGACUAUCCCUGCCACCAUAAUAUAAACAAUAUAGCUGAAGAGCUC
rnacentral:lncRNA from 1 species